rnacentral:rRNA from 1 species
GACGAACGCUGGCGGCGUGCUUAGCACAUGCAAGUCGAACGGAAAGGCCCUGCUUUUGUGGGGUGCUCGAGUGGCGAACGGGUGAGUAACACGUGAGUAACCUGCCCUUGACUUUGGGAUAACUUCAGGAAACUGGGGCUAAUACCGGAUAGGAGCUCCUGCGGCAUGGUGGGGGUUGGAAAGUUUCGGCGGUUGGGGAUGGACUCGCGGCUUAUCAGCUUGUUGGUGGGGUAGUGGCUUACCAAGGCUUUGACGGGUAGCCGGCCUGAGAGGGUGACCGGCCACAUUGGGACUGAGAUACGGCCCAGACUCCUACGGGAGGCAGCAGUGGGGAAUAUUGCACAAUGGGCGGAAGCCUGAUGCAGCAACGCCGCGUGCGGGAUGACGGCCUUCGGGUUGUAAACCGCUUUCGCCUGUGACGAAGCGUGAGUGACGGUAAUGGGUAAAGAAGCACCGGCUAACUACGUG